UCCCCUGUAGCUCAGCCGGUAGAGCAAGCGACUGUUAAUCGCUGGGUCGCAGGUUCGAGUCCUGCCGGGGGAGCCA
rnacentral:tRNA from 1 species